UACGCGAACCCCAAGCGUUAUCCGGAUUUAUUGGGCGUAAAGGGUGUGUAGGCGGCUCUGUUAGUCUUUUGUCAAAGACCUCAGCUCAACUGAGGAAUGGCAGAGGAAACGGCAGAGCUCGAGGAUGCGAGAGGUGUGCGGAACUCAUGGUGUAGAGGUGAAAUUCGUUGAUACCAUGGGGAACACCAAAGGCGAAGGCAGCACACUGGCGCAUUCCUGACGCUGAGGCACGAAAGCCAGGGUAGCGAACGGG
rnacentral:misc_RNA from 1 species